AAUAAGCGGAGGAAAAGAAACCAACAGGGAUUGCCUCAGUAACGGCGAGUGAAGCGGCAACAGCUCAAAUUUGAAAUCUGGCUCCGUGCGGGGUCCGAGUUGUAAUUUGCAGAGGAUGCUUCGGGUGCGGCACCGGUCUAAGUCCCUUGGAACAGGGCGUCAUAGAGGGUGAGGAUCCCGUAUGUGACCGGCGACCAAGCCCAUGUGAAGCUCCUUCGACGAGUCGAGUUGUUUGGGAAUGCAGCUCAAAAUGGGUGGUAAAUUUCAUCUAAAGCUAAAUACCGGCCAGAGACCGAUAGCGCACAAGUAGAGUGAUCGAAAGAUGAAAAGCACUUUGGAAAGAGAGUCAAAAAGUACGUGAAAUUGUUGAAAGGGAAGCGCUUGUAACCAGACCUGCCGUCGGGUGCUCAGCGGGCAGUCAUGCCCGCCUAUUCAUCCGCGAUCAGGCCAGCAUCGGUUUUGGCGGCCGGAUAAAGGCUCGAGGAAUGUAGCUCCGCUUCGGGGGAGUGUUAUAGCCUCGGGUGCAAUACGGCCAGUCGGGACCGAGGACCGCGCUUCGGCUAGGAUGCUGGCGUAAUGGUUGCAAGCGACC
rnacentral:rRNA from 1 species